GAUGAAGAACGUAGCGAAAUGCGAUAAGUAAUGUGAAUUGCAGAAUUCAGUGAAUCAUCGAAUCUUUGAACGCAUCUUGCGCUCCUUGGUAUUCUGAGGAGCAUGCCUGUUUGAGUGUCAUUAAAUUCUCAACUACACUGACUUUGAAUUGGUGUGGCUUGGAUUUGGGGGGAAAAUUGUUGUGGGCUUUUUGUAUAGUCUGCUCCCCUGAAAUUGAUUAGCGGUACCUUUGUGGAACUGUCUACAGGUGUGAUAAUUAUCUACAUCUUAGACAUCUGCUGGAAUGCUGCUUUCUAAACCUUACUUGUAUUGACAAUCUUGACCUCAAAGCAGGUAGGACUACCCGCUGAACUUAAGCAUAUCAAUAAGCGGAGGA
rnacentral:misc_RNA from 1 species